UACGUAGGUGGCGAGCGUUGUCCGGAUUUACUGGGCGUAAAGAGCGCGCAGGCGGUCGUUCAAGUCGCGUGUGAAAGCCCCCGGCUCAACUGGGGAGGGUCACGCGAUACUGAUCGACUCGAAGGCAGGAGAGGGAAGUGGAAUUCCCGGUGUAGUGGUGAAAUGCGUAGAUAUCGGGAGGAACACCAGUGGCGAAGGCGACUUCCUGGCCUGCUCUUGACGCUGAGGCGCGAAAGCUAGGGGAGCAAACGGG
rnacentral:rRNA from 1 species